ACGGGUGAGUAACACGUGGGCAACCUGCCCCUUAGACUGGGAUAACUCCGGGAAACCGGAGCUAAUACCGGAUAAUCCCUUUCUCCACCUGGAGAGAGGGUGAAAGAUGGCUUCGGCUAUCACUAGGGGAUGGGCCCGCGGCGCAUUAGCUAGUUGGUAAGGUAACGGCUUACCAAGGCAACGAUGCGUAGCCGACCUGAGAGGGUGAUCGGCCACACUGGGACUGAGACACGGCCCAGACUCCUACGGGAGGCAGCAGUAGGGAAUCUUCCGCAAUGGACGAAAGUCUGACGGAGCAACGCCGCGUGAGUGAGGAAGGCCUUCGGGUCGUAAAGCUCUGUUGUGAGGGAAGAAGCGGUACCGUUCGAAUAGGGCGGUACCUUGACGGUACCUCACCAGAAAGCCACGGCUAACUACGUGCCAGCAGCCGCGGUAAUACGUAGGUGGCAAGCGUUGUCCGGAAUUAUUGGGCGUAAAGCGCGCGCAGGCGGCUUCUUAAGUCUGAUGUGAAAUCUCGGGGCUCAACCCCGAGCGGCCAUUGGAAACUGGGAGCUUGAGUGCAGAAGAGGAGAGUGGAAUU
rnacentral:rRNA from 1 species